rnacentral:tRNA from 1 species
UCCCCUGUAGCUCAAUUGGCAGAGCGCCGAGCUGUUAACUCGGAGGUUUUGGAGGUUCGAGCCCUCCCGGGGGAG